rnacentral:rRNA from 1 species
CACAUGCAAGUCGAACGAAGUAGCAAUACUUAGUGGCAGACGGGUGAGUAACAUGUGGGUAUCUACCCUUUGGCCUGGAAUAACACGAGGAAACUUGUGCUAAUACCGGAUAAGUCUUUACGGAGAAAGCUUUAUGCACCAUUGGAUGAGCCCGCACUAGAUUAGUUUGUUGGUGGGGUAAUGGCCUACCAAGACUGUGAUCUAUAGCUGAUUUGAGAGGAUGAUCAGCCACAUUGGGACUGAGACACGGCCCAAACUCCUACGGGAGGCAGCAGUGGGGAAUCUUGCACAAUGGAGGAAACUCUGAUGCAGCGAUGCCGCGUGAGUGAAGAAGGCCUUUGGGUUGUAAAGCUCUUUCGUCGGGGAAGAAAAUGACUGUACCCGAAUAAGAAGGUCCGGCUAACUUCGUGCCAGCAGCCGCGGUAAUACGAAGGGACCUAGCGUAGUUCGGAAUUACUGGGCUUAAAGAGUUCGUAGGUGGUUAAAAUAGUUGGUGGUGAAAUCCCAGAGCUUAACUCUGGAACUGCCAUCAAAACUUUUUAGCUAGAGUAUGAUAGAGGAAAGUAGAAUUUCUAGUGUAGAGGUGAAAUUCGUAGAUAUUAGAAAGAAUACCGAUUGCGAAGGCAGCUUUCUGGAUCAUUACUGACACUGAGGAACGAAAGCAUGGGUAGCGAAGAGGAUUAGAUACCCUCGUAGUCCAUGCCGUAAACGAUGUGUGUUAGACGUUGGAAAUUUAUUUUCAGUGUCGCAGCGAAAGCAAUAAACACACCGCCUGGGGAGUACGACCGCAAGGUUAAAACUCAAAUGAAUUGACGGGGACCCGCACAAGUAGUGGAGCAUGUGGUUUAAUUCGAAGAUACGCGCAGAACCUUACCAACACUUGACAUGUUCGUCGCGACUCUAAGAGAUUAGAGUUUUCGGUUCGGCCGGACGAAACACAGGUGCUGCAUGGCUGUCGUCAGCUCG